rnacentral:rRNA from 1 species
UACGUAGGGUGCAAGCGUUAAUCGGAAUUACUGGGCGUAAAGCGUGCGCAGGCGGUUAUGUAAGACAGGUGUGAAAUCCCCGGGCUUAACCUGGGAACUGCAUUUGUGACUGCAUAGCUAGAGUACGGUAGAGGGGGAUGGAAUUCCGCGUGUAGCAGUGAAAUGCGUAGAUAUGCGGAGGAACACCGAUGGCGAAGGCAAUCCCUCGGACCUGUACUGACGCUCAUGCACGAAAGCGUGGGGAGCAAACGAGG